rnacentral:rRNA from 1 species
UACAGAGGUGGCAAGCGUUGUUCGGAAUUACUGGGCGUAAAGGGCGCGUAGGCGGUCUUGUAAGUCCCGUGUGAAAUCCCUCGGCUCAACUGAGGAACUGCACGGGAAACUGCUUGGCUUGAGUUCGGGAGAGGGAAGCGGAAUUCCGGGUGUAGCGGUGAAAUGCGUAGAUAUCCGGUAGGAACACCGGGUGGCGAAGGCGGCUUCCUGGACCGACACUGACGCUGAGGCGCGAAAGCUAGGGGAGCAAACGGG